rnacentral:rRNA from 1 species
ACACCGGCGGCCCGAGUGGUGAUCGUGAUUAUUGGGUCUAAAGGGUCCGUAGCCGGUUUGGUCAGUCCUCCGGGAAAUCUGAUAGCUCAACUAUUAGGCUUUCGGGGGAUACUGCCAGACUUGGAACCGGGAGAGGUAAGAGGUACUACAGGGGUAGGAGUGAAAUCUUGUAAUCCCUGUGGGACCACCUGUGGCGAAGGCGUCUUACCAGAACGGGUUCGACGGUGAGGGACGAAAGCUGGGGGCACGAACCGGAUUAGAUACCCGGGUAGUCCCAGCCGUAAACGAUGCUCGCUAGGUGUCAGGCAUGGCGCGACCGUGUCUGGUGCCGCAGGGAAGCCGUGAAGCGAGCCACCUGGGAAGUACGGCCGCAAGGCUGAAACUUAAAGGAAUUGACGGGG